rnacentral:rRNA from 1 species
AUGAACGCUGGCGGCGUGCCUAAUACCUGCAAGUCGAGCGAACGGACGAGAAGCUUGCUUUUCUGAUGUUAGCGGCGGACGGGUGAGUAACACGUGGAUAACCUACCUAUAAGACUGGGAUAACUUCGGGAAACCGGAGCUAAUACCGGAUAAUAUUUUGAACCGCAUGGUUCAAAAGUGAAAGACGGUCUUGCUGUCACUUAUAGAUGGAUCCGCGCUGCAUUAGCUAGUUGGUAAGGUAACGGCUUACCAAGGCAACGAUGCAUAGCCGACCUGAGAGGGUGAUCGGCCACACUGGAACUGAGACACGGUCCAGACUCCUACGGGAGGCAGCAGUAGGGAAUCUUCCGCAAUGGGCGAAAGCCUGACGGAGCAACGCCGCGUGAGUGAUGAAGGUCCUCGGAUCGUAAAACUCUGUUAUUAGGGAAGAACAUAUGUGUAAGUAACUGUGCACAUCUUGACGGUACCUAAUCAGAAAGCCACGGCUAACUACGUG